rnacentral:rRNA from 1 species
GUGGGGGAUAUUGCACAAUGGGGGGAACCCUGAUGCAGCGACGCCGCGUGAGCGAAGAAGUACCUCGGUAUGUAAAGCUCUAUCAGCAGGGAAGAAAAUGACGGUACCUGACUAAGAAGCCCCGGCUAACUAUGUGCCAGCAGCCGCGGUAAUACAUAGGGGGCAAGCGUUAUCCGGAAUUAUUGGGUGUAAAGGGUGCGUAGACGGGUGUUUAAGUUGGUUGUGAAAUCCCUCGGCUCAACUGAGGAACUGCAACCAAAACUGGAUAUCUUGAGUGUCGGAGAGGAAAGUGGAAUUCCUAGUGUAGCGGUGAAAUGCGUAGAUAUUAGGAGGAACACCAGUGGCGAAGGCGACUUUCUGGACGAUAACUGACGUUGAGGCACGAAAGUGUGGGGAGCAAACAGGAUUAGAAACCCUUGUAGUCC